UUGAAGAAUUCUCUCGAUUAGUCAGAGAUUUGUUUCGAUUAUUCAUCGAUCAGCAAGUUUCUUUCGAUUUCAUAGAUCGCGAGUCUGGAUUUAGAAUCUAGGGUUUUGAUGGGACUUCAAAGAUUUUGGGUUUCUAAGAAGCUUGUCUCCUCCGCUUGAAACCAUCGUCAAGGUAUGUGUAUCGCUUGUCUUUUCUGAUUUUAAUUGGUUUUGGUUUUGGUUUUGGUUUUUGUUUUGUUUUUGUUUUUGUUUUUUGAGGACUGAAAUCGAAUGAGAACAAACAUGUACGAUAAGUUCUUGUCGAUGAUUCUUUGUUUCAUUUUGUAAUUGAUAAGA